AAAAACUCAAACACAAUAAUUGCUUUGAACAGCAUUUAAUCCACUAAAAAUCAAACCACAGUUUUUCUUUAUGUGAGCCACAAAGUCUCUGUGAAUAACAGGGUGGUAACACCUGCUAAAACUUAUCUGAAACUAUUAAAAUAAAGUUUUGUUGGUUAACUUUUUUUAUGAAAAUCUUACUGAUGGUGAUUCAUAAAUGAUAAAUUGCCCAUUUGCUUCACUGACCUGUCCUGCCAAACUGAGUAAGAUGUAGUAGUGUUUUAUACAAUUUAGCACUUUUCUAAACAUUGUUUGAAGAAUUUAAAUUAUAAAAGUGUCAGGAUUUUAUCAUUUGUGCUUACUGUCGUCUUAUUUUAUAUAAAUAUUAAUUUAUUUAAAUAUUAAUUUAACAUGGGAAAUGUCAUCACAGCAGUCCAAACUGAAGUGUUUGGGACAGAGGAGGACAAAAGGACUGAAACAGGAAACAGGAAUGAUACUGUGUAAAAACACAUCCUAUACCUGCAGAUACAAUGAACAUUUGAGAUAUUACAUUACUUUAAAAAUAACAAGUGCGAGCAGAUUUAGGUAUCGAUCCUGUGUUUUCUAAGAGGGUUCUGUCAAAAGGAGGAGCUUAAGACCGGUCUGCUGUGAAACAGAUUAGUUGAGUGAUAAUCAGCAUCAGAUCACUGAGACAAGCAGAGACUACCAUCAUGUUCACUUGUGUGCUUCUACUGCUGACUUUAACUCAAGGAAACAGAGCUAAAGAUGUAAUCACCCCAUACAGUGAUGCAGUAUUUUCCACUGAGACUGAGAGCGUCAAACUCUCUUGUAACUACACUGGUUCUGUUGAUGCUCUUCACUGGUAUCGACAAUAUGAAGGUUCAGCACCACAGUUCCUCAUCCUGGAUUAUUCAGGAUAUGUUACUCAUGCAGAUCCUCCAGUUCCUGGAAUAUCCAUCAGUCCCAGAAAAGAAGAGAACAGUGUUGAUCUGAUCAUCUCCUCUGCUGCUGAAUCAGACUCUGCUCUGUAUUUCUGUGCUCUGAGGCCCACAGUGACAGGAAACACUCAACACACCGUACAAGAACCUCACUGACUCUAUAUUCUCAAAAAGAGAUGUCAAAACAAAAAAUAGUAUCCACACGGAGUAAUGUUACGUUCACAUUUAGUAUACACUUUCCAGCAUUAUAUGUAUAUAUAUUGAUUAAUAAUUGCUUAUUAUUGAUUGAGAUCAUAUCAUUAUAUAGGCUAUAUUGCCAGAUUUUUCCUCAUGUAUGAAAACAUUAAAAAAGUCUACAUUUAUAAUCCUAAUAUUUUCAGAUUCACACAUACACUAUCCUUGUUAGACUGGUGGAAUAAAUCACACCACCACUGGGGGGUGCUGUGUACAUUAAAAAAAGUUUAGACAGGAUGCCUAUGAGAGGAUAACUACAUCAAAAAUUAAUGUGCAUUCAUUUACAGGAACAACAAAAGUCUGCCACUUUGCCCCCUGCAUUCAUGUGUAAUCUGGUAAAACUAAUAUUAAUUGUCAUGACAAUUCAUAUUUUUUUUUUAUUCCCCUCACAAAAUGCAGUUGACCCAUAAUUUAUAUAGACAUCAAUCAGCACACCCCAACACUACA